rnacentral:ncRNA from 2 species
AAUGAUAAAUCUGGAGAGUGUGUUUUUUGUAAAAACACCACCGAAGGGGAAAAAACGACUUUUGACGGCUUAGCAAAUUUACGUUGUUAGCCCAUGUUACAUAUUAUUCUAUACUGCAUUUUAUUCUAUGCUACAUUUUAUGUUGCGUGUCAAAAUUCGUUGAAAAUCUCAGGUAACAGGACAGAUGGGGCACU